UGGGUGCUUCCUGGAAUGGCGAAGCUAGGCAGUUUUGCCAGAAGUCGUUGCUGUGAGCAUCAGGGUUCAGAGUUGAGUCUUCAACACCAGACCUCUGCGAUGGGCUUCCGGAUUCGAGGCCCCGUCCCUUUCUCAGAAGGAUAUAGAAAGCUGCAUGGUGAAAUGAAUGGUGUCUGUUCCACUUCACAGUUUAUACCCAGCAUCUAACUCAGGACUUGGCACAUCACAGGAGCCUAAUAAAUAUCUGU
rnacentral:lncRNA from 10 species